UACAGAGGUCCCAAGCGUUGUUCGGAUUCACUGGGCGUAAAGGGUGCGUAGGCGGCCGGGUAAGUCUGAUGUGAAAUCCCGCAGCUUAACUGCGGAACUGCAUCGGAUACUCUCCGGCUAGAGGAAUGGAGGGGAGACUGGAAUUCUCGGUGUAGCAGUGAAAUGCGUAGAUAUCGAGAGGAACACCAGUGGCGAAGGCGGCCACCUGGACGAACACUGACGCUGAGGCGCGAAAGCGUGGGGAGCAAACAGG
rnacentral:rRNA from 1 species